AGAUCUAAACUCUUAUAAAUAUUUGAGUACCAAAAGUGAGGACCUCCUAAUUUCAUUGUAUGGUUUAAUAUUGCAGCAACACCAUAAAUAGGGGGGAUAGGGAAAAAAUAUUUUUUAAACUUUUCUUUCAUGGUAUUUAUAGCAAGUUGAUAAAUUUCCCCACCCUCCGAAAAAUCAACAAAACAAAUCAGAUAGUGCUGCAAUAUAAACUAAACAGUUUGAAAUAGUUGGAUAAUAUUGCCCAGAAAAUGCAUUAGUAGCAAUUUGAAAAUGUUCUAAAA
rnacentral:lncRNA from 1 species